rnacentral:rRNA from 1 species
UUAUGCCUACGGGACGCAGCAGUGGGGGAUAUUGCACAAUGGGGGAAACCCUGAUGCAGCGACGCCGCGUGAGUGAAGAAGUAUUUCGGUACGUAAAGCUCUAUCAGCAGGGAAGAAUAAUGACGGUACCUGACUAAGAAGCCCCGGCUAACUACGUGCCAGCAGCCGCGGUAAUACGUAGGGGGCAAGCGUUAUCCGGAUUUACUGGGUGUAAAGGAAGCGUAGACGGCUGUGCAAGUCUGAAGUGAAAUGCCAGGGCUCAACCC